ensembl:lncRNA
UCAUGACACAACUGUUUUAAUUGUUACUCACAAUAACGUUACAAUAAAUGGCACAAAUGGCACAAACAUGCGGGAUCACAGUCCAAAGCAUAGAAAGGUUAGAUUACAUUUUGGUUGCACAUGAUUUAAGCUACACUUACACAAUUUACAGUACGCUGUCUCAGAACAAAACUUUGUGCAAUAUGUACUGUGUACUGAAAUAUAAAAACGUUCAACCACUAGAUGGGGGGAAAGGAUUGGAGGAAAAGGCCAACGUUUUCAAUGCUUGAAAUUGUAUAGGGUUUUUAAAUACAAAUGAGUAAAUCACUGUUACCAGUCAUUAUCGUUUACAAAUGUACAGCUGCCUGGCAUGCAAAGUGACAUAACAAAAGGUCACACACACUUAAAGUCUCUAAAAUAGAGAAUCCACCAAACAACUACAGUGAUCCCUCCUAUUUGACCCUAGAAGUAGGCUACAUUAAAACCACAAUCUGAAGUUGUGUUUCUGGAGAAAUGUCUCUGGAGAAAUGUUUCCCCUCUCAAACUCAUAGACAGCUUUGGCUUCAAGGAAUGGCAGUCUACACAGGUACUCUGAAGCAAUACAUACUUUGUUUACAAAGAUCUAAAUUACAACAAAAACAUAAAUGGAGAAUAGAGUAAUCAUAUUUUGGGUUGUGAUAGGGUAUGUAAAACAUGUAUAUAUUGCAAGCAUGGUUAUAGAUGUAUUGAUGACUGUUAAACAUCAGGAAAUAUACACAAUGUAUGACUUUAAAGGAAAGGUAUGGGUAAGCCUUUGACUUAAUGUAUUGAAACUCAGUACAACAUGUUUAUGUUUACAACAAGUCACAAGGUUAUUUUAAAAUAGUGAAAAGUGAAUUAUAUCUUCAUAUUCAGUCUCAGUAACUACUCAGAAAUUGAGAGGCAUAAAAUUGAAAUGGCCUACAGUGCAACAACUCACUAUGGUAUCGACAGAUUUAAUAUUUUUGGGUGACAGUGAUCCAUACAAAGGUUACACUAAUGUAGGUGGACCACAAAAUCCUCUGAUAGAAGGAGAGUGUAUGGUGUCUGCAGGAGUUGCAGCAGGAGUCUGCAGGAGGGAGUGAUUGUAUUUUGAAGGGAUGAUGUGCUACAUAUGUUGUGCUGCUAUUUUUAUUGACUAGGCCAAAGCUUUUGGUACUGUAGAACAUUCCAUUCUUGUGGGCCGGUUAAGGAGUAUUCGUGUCUCUGAGGGGGUCUUUGGCCUGGUUUUUACUAACUACCUCUCUCAAAGAGUGCAGUGUAUAAAGUCACAACAUCUGCUGUCUCAGCCACUGCCUGUCACCAAGGGAGUACCACAAGGUUCGAUCCUAGGCCCCACGCUCUUCUCAAUUUACAUCAACAACAUAGCUCAGGCAGGAGGAAGCCCUCUCAUCCAUGUAUAUGCAGACUAAUCAGUCUUUUACUCAGCUGGCCCCUCCCCGGAUUUUGUGUUAAACGCUCUACACCAAAGUUUUCUUAGUGUCCAACAAGCUUUCUCUAUGGAACGCCGUUUGGGUCUUUACGUGUCAAAAAAGAUACAUGUCAAAUAACACUAUUUGACGUGUCAAAUAAGCUUGUUGACCAAUCGGGACCUGAAUAUGACUGCACGUCACAUAAUAAUUGAGCGCGUUCAUACAUUUUUUUACGUAGUUAUUACACAUUGAUUACACUAUCACUCGUAUUUAAUAUGUCACAACGAUUAAUCGAUACAUAUCGCUUUGAUGCUGGCAAAGUUGUCUCGCCCACCUGCCCUUCCCCAAGCUCUGGACAGUGCUGGUCGUAAAAAGGUUAGCUAGCUGAUGGAUUUGAUGCAGACAAUGUUCUUCCCCCAAAACACAGCAAAACGACAAGUUGUAUUGGGUUAGGGUUAGGGUUAGGGUUAGGGUUAGGGUUAGGGUUAGAUACCAAAGAAGUUGAGGUUGGUUUCCUCUAUCGUAAUCACUCCUCUUUCACCCCAGCUGCCAAACUGACCCUGAUUAAGAUGACCAUCCUACCCAUGCUAGAUUACAGAGACUUAAUUUAUAGAUCGGCAGGUAAGGGUGCUCUCGAGCGGCUAGAUGUUCUUUACCACCGGCCAUCAGAUUUGCCACCAAUGCUCCUUAUAGGACACAUCACUGCACUAUCCUCCUCUGUAAACUGGUCAUCUCUGUAUACCCAUCACAUGACCCACUGGUAGAUGCUUAUUUAUAAAACCCUCUUAGGCCUCACUUCCCCCUAUCUGAGAUACCUACUGCAGCCCUCAUCCUCCACAUACCACCCAUUCUGCCAGUCACAUUCUGUUAAAGGUCCCCAAAGCACACACAUCCCCAUCACUUUUCAGUUCGCCGCAGCUAGCGACUGGAGCGAGCUGCAAAAACACUCAAACUGGGCAGUUUUAUCUCUUCAUUCAAAGAUUCAAUCAUGGACACUCUUACUGACAGUUGUGGCUCCUUCGUGUGAUGUAUUGUUGUCUCUACCUUCUUGCUUUUGUGCUGCUGUCUGUGCCCAAUAAUAUUGGUACCAUGUUUUGUGCUGCUACCAUGUUGUGCUGCUGCCACGUUGUGUUGCUACCAUGUUGUUGUCAUGUGGUGUUGCUACCAUAUUGUGUUGUCAUGUGAUGCUGCCAUGCUAUGUUGUCGUCUUAGGUCUCGCUUUAUGUAGUGGUGUUGUGUCUCACUUGUCAUGAUGUGUGUUUUGUCCUAUAUUUUUUAUUUUUAAUCACAGGCCCCGUCCCCGCAGGAGGCCUUUUGCCUUUUGGUAGGCCGUCAUUGUGAAUUAGAAUGUGUUCUUAACUGACUUGCCUAGUUAAAUAAAGGUUACAAAAACACCUAGAUCAGGAUAACCAAUAGAUGGUCCAUCAUAAUAAACAAAAUGAGCUGAUUAAGAGUUACAAUUUAGCCCAGACCUCCAUCUUGUGAAAAUCCCUAAGAAGAGGAAAAUGUCGCUGAAGAUCAAACAGCAAAUCUACCCUCAGAAAUGUUUCAAUACAACAUAUAUAUAUGGUGAAAGGAAAAAAUACAUCUAUGGAACUUUUGUUUUUCUAAAGCGGCCUAACAGCCAUUGCUUCUAAGGAGUAGGUGUCUUUAUCUCAAACGCCUGCUCUUUUUAUAAUACGUACACAGCUGCUAUCCUCUGGCAAGCGAAACAAUUACCAGCUGUGAAAAGAUACAGGGGAGGGACCUACAUUUAAACAACAGAACAGUCAGUACUGAAAAGAAGCUUUGGCCCAGCAGUAGCAUAGCAAACACACCAGGGAAUUGGAUUAAAAGACAGGUUCCAUUUGUUUUAACCUAUAAAUUGGGAUUUGGGACAAAAGGCACUUGAAAAGAAGGAUUAUACAGAUCCUGCUACUAACUCAAUGCGUAGUUAUUGAAUUGGUCCGCACCAGUGGAUGUCAUGGAUGUCAUUUGGCAGAAGGUCUGUGAGAAUGACCUACAAAGAAAGCCUGAAAUUAUAACAUCAGUGCAAAAGUUUCAGGGGAAUUUUCUCCCAUAACAACUGUGCCUCUAAAAGGUUUUCGGGGCGAAUAUUCUUUUACUUUCAGUUUGUUUCAAUAUCCUCUUCAUGAUAUGCCGUCCUCUCCAGGAUGUGAAUUAUCAUGUCGGUUUCUCAGUGACUUCCCAUUUCGCUCCUUCAUGCUGUGUCAACAUCCCCGCUGGCAGCCAUGCGAUGUGAUUGGAGUGUAUCAUAAACUGAUGUCAGUUUUGCUUUGUCUCUAAGUGAAUCCAGUUCUGGUACACCUGUUCGCUCCUCCUAGGUAGGGAGAGGGAGGGAGGUAGGGGAGGGAAGGACGGAGAGGGACAGGGAAAGGGAG